UAGCAUGGCCCCUGCGCAAGGAUGACAC
rnacentral:piRNA from 4 species